GCCCUCCUGUGGCUCAGUUGGUAGAGGGUUGCGCCAACAAUGCAAAGGUUGUGGGUUCAAUCCCAGGGAAAGCA